rnacentral:rRNA from 1 species
GACGAACCGUGCGAACGUUAUUCGGAAUCGCUGGGCUUAAAGCGCGUGUAGGCGGAUGGGGACGUCGGUUGCUGAAAUCCCCCGGCUCAACCGGGGAACGGGCGCCGAAACGCCUCGUCUGGAGGGACGUAGGGGGACCUGGAACUUCCGGUGGAGCGGUGAAAUGCGUUGAGAUCGGAAAGAACACCAACGGCGAAAGCACUCUGCUGGGCCGACACUGACACUGAGAGACGAAAGCUAGGGGAGCGAAUGGG